AUACCUUUCUCGGCCUUUUGGCUAAGAUCAAGUGUAGUAUCUGUUCUUAUCAGUUUAAUAUCUGAUACGUGGGUCAUCGAUCCACAUGAUAUUAAAUUUAUUUUUCUAGGGGGAGGAUCCAUCACAGUAGCUUGCUCCUAGGAUCCUCGAGCGUUGCCCAUGCGUUGCACUACUGCACGGGCCUGGCGCACCCCAC
rnacentral:snRNA from 1 species